GAUGAACGCUGGCGGCGUGCCUAAUACAUGCAAGUCGAGCGAACAUACGAGGAGCUUGCUCCUCUGACGUUAGCGGCGGACGGGUGAGUAACACGUGGAUAACCUACCUAUAAGACUGGGAUAACUUCGGGAAACCGGAGCUAAUACCGGAUAAUAUAUUGAACCGCAUGGUUCAAUAGUGAAAGACGGUUUUGCUGUCACUUAUAGAUGGAUCCGCGCCGCAUUAGCUAGUUGGUAAGGUAACGGCUUACCAAGGCAACGAUGCGUAGCCGACCUGAGAGGGUGAUCGGCCACACUGGAACUGAGACACGGUCCAGACUCCUACGGGAGGCAGCAGUAGGGAAUCUUCCGCAAUGGGCGAAAGCCUGACGGAGCAACGCCGCGUGAGUGAUGAAGGUCUUCGGAUCGUAAAACUCUGUUAUUAGGGAAGAACAAAUGUGUAAGUAACUAUGCACGUCUUGACGGUACCUAAUCAGAAAGCCACGGCUAACUACGUG
rnacentral:rRNA from 1 species